UACGGGGGGAGCAAGCGUUGUUCGGAUUUACUGGGCGUAAAGGGUGCGUAGGCGGCGCGGUAAGUCGGGUGUGAAAUCUCGGAGCUUAACUUCGAAACUGCAUUCGAUACUGCCGUGCUUGAGGACUGGAGAGGAGACUGGAAUUUACGGUGUAGCGGUGAAAUGCGUAGAUAUCGUAAGGAAGACCAGUGGCGAAGGCGGGUCUCUGGACAGUUCCUGACGCUGAGGCACGAAGGCCAGGGGAGCAAACGGG
rnacentral:rRNA from 1 species